rnacentral:lncRNA from 1 species
CACUUCAUGCUCUCUCUUGAGGAUCCCAACCUUCCCACAACCGUUAAGGUCCAAAUCCAGCUCCAAGGAGCAGAACAAACACCCACAUCAAAGAUAGCAACUCUUCAUCACCAAAUAGUGUAUCGAUUACAGAAUCAUGCACUCGAUCUUCCCACACCACACACUAUAUCCGAUGCCUUAAUGAUCCUAGCAGACACAGACACAAUUCCAACCAUCAUCCAAAUUCCCAAACAAAUCCAGAAAUAAGAAUUGCUCAAACUCAUGCCUCUUGAAUGGUUAACCAACUAUGAGCAUUUCCACCAAAACUCUGAACCAGUUCAAACAACAGAAGCCACGUUUGAAAGACGACAAAAUGGUCAAGUCAAACUAUCUUUUCAAACACCUGAGACCAAGCCUGUUUCAGACACUCCAAGGCUUUCCUACACUGCUAUGAUUACGGCAGUUCAAACUGGUCAUGAAAAGAAACUUCCCAUUCAUGGUUUCUCAUCAGAAGGGUAUCCAGUAUAUCCAGAUAAAAUCAAUGGUCACUUCUUAUGGGAUGUUCCUGAAGCCCAUAUGUGCAACCCAGAUUAUCCUUGCUUGGAUGAUACGGAUGUUGAUGACGAACUAAAAGUUAUGAGGAGAAAGAAAAAGAAAAAGAAAAAGACAAAACCUUCUCAUCCAAAACAUCUUGCAAAUCCUUUCCUCCACAAUCUCCACCAGAUCCCAAAACCUCCUGUCCAUCCAAUAAGAUCAUGCCUCAUGUUUUCAAGUCAAUCCUAUGAGGAAUCAUUUCCUCCACUUGAAAAACAGACAGACACACAAACCAGAGUUAUCUCAAAACCUUUUGUCCAAUCUCCCGUUACUGCCUCUGGGCAACCUGAAGAACCAAAACAGUAUGAGGCUGCUUUAAAUUGGCAAACCAAAAAUGCCAAUGCUCAAAAUCAAACUCUUCAACAACUCGGUCAGGUUGAUUGAAUCAGCAAUCGUCUUGACCAAAUGUACAUACAUCUACAAGAUCGUAUCUCUGAACUAGAUACCGAUCUCAGACGAAUGAUCAACAAUCACAUCUGGGGUCCAGAGUUUAACAAAAAGGAAGUAGAGAUCAGAAAGCUCAAAGCUGAAUUGGCAAGAAUUGAUGCUGACAAGGCUCGUCCGUCACUUUUUACUCAAACACAAACCACACCAGUACCUCCUCCAAUGUUUGAAACUUAUGCACCUUUCUACACACCAUCCCGACCUCAACAACCGGUUUACAACCAGUUUUUGGAUUCUCACACCUUCAACCAACUCCACAACCGAAGCCAUCUUCACCAAAAAAAUCAAAGUCCAAAGUAAAAAUUUCAGAACCACAGUCAAAGGCCACUUUCAUCUUCAUCUGUUCCCCCAGUACCCCCACAAUGAAACUUUGAAACCCACACUUAAUUUGUAGUUUCAACUUCCCAAGAAAGUUCUAAACAGAUUUAUAACAAACAAAACCUUGACCAAUGCUUAAGAAAAGCAUGAACCAAAGGUAUAGAGAAUGAUAUUGACGCCACACUCAAGAAAUAGAUGAGAAGGUGAGUGAUAAGUCUAAAUUUGGAACGCCACAAGAAUGCAAAUUCUUGAUAAGUUCACUAGUUCUCAAAGAACCAAAGAAGAAUAAUCUUUCAAAUUCAAAUAACAUUAAUCUUAAUUAUUAUUACAUAGCAAGGUUGUUGAAUUUAAAUAGGCUAAAAGAAACCCAAGAUCCUAAAAAUACAAAUGGAAAAUUAGAAUAACCCUCCAAGUAGGUUUGUCAAAGGAUGUUUCAAAAGUCUUCACCAACCCACCAAUUAAUGCUAUCUUUGACAAACUUAAUGCUAGCCUACUAUAAUUAAUGCUAUCAUUGACAAACUUAAUGUUAGCCCACCAUUAUUGAUGGUAGACUUACCUUACACAUUGACAAACUUGAAACAAAACAAACAAAUGAAGUUGAAAAACAAAGGAGUCGUUGAAAAUCCCAAGUCUGAACAAGUUGUAAUGAAUUGGUCAUAACUCCUUCUAGAGAACUCCAAAUCCAGCUCUGUAAAAUUCUUUGGAAAGCUAACUUAAUUAUCUUCAACGGUAUGUAGCUGGCACAUUAAUUCUAGAUCAAUCAAUACAGUUUUUAUUCCAAAUUUGACCUUUCUGCAGUUGAUACAAAUUGUGUAUUUGGCUGCCCAAUAACUUGAAUAAUGCCCACAAUGCCUUGUCUUCUCUUCAAGCCCAAUUCAUGAUGUCUUGCAUCUUGAAUUGCAUUUUCAAUCCAUAUUUUCUCAAUUAAUCCAUUUAAAGCAGCUUGCAUCUUUUAGGCUCUUGCUCUUGUAAUUGGGCCUCCAUGAAUGUGCAAAGGAUCACUUGAAGUUUUAAUGGUAUUCCUUUGAUGGUUCUCAUCAUUCCCCCUCUCUUCAAAAGAAUUCAUCCUCGAAUCUUCACCUACAUCGAAAGGAGAAAGAUCAGAAACAUUAAAAGUAACACUCACAUUAUACUCACCAGGAAGAUCCAAUUUGUAGGCAUUGUCAUUGAUCCGUGCAACCACUUGAAAUGGACCAUCUCCCCUUGGAAACAACUUGGAACGCCUUUGUGCUGGGAACCUCUCCUUUCUCAUAUGCACCCAAACCCAAUCUCCAGGCUGAAAAACCACUUGCUUACGUCCUUUGUUGGCUUGAGUAGCAUAUUGUUCAGUUCUCUUUUCUAUGUGUUGACGUGUUCUCUCAUGCAAUUGCUUGACAAAUUCAGCUUUCUUUUUACCAUCCAUACUAGCACGCUCAUCAAUAGGUAAAGGUAAUAAAUCCAAAGGAGUUAAUGGAUUAAAACCAUAUACAAUCUCAAAUGGUGAAAAUUUAGUAGUUGAAUGGACAGUUCUAUUGUAAGCAAAUUCAACAUGUGGCAAACAUUCUUCCCAAGUUUUCAAGUUCUUUUGAAUAAUGGCACGCAACAAAGUAGACAGUGGCUCAACUUACCCCACAAAGUUUUCCAAAAGUGGCUCAAGAACUUAGCAUCUCGAUCUCAAAAACUAUGCUCCUUGUACUCCAUGCAACCUGACUAUUUCCUUGAAAAAACAAAUUAGCUAUGUUGUUGCAUCAUCAGUUUUGUGACAUGGAAUGAAAUGUGCCAUCUUUGAAAACCUAUCAAACAACAACAAAAACAGAAUCAUUUCCCCUUUUUGACCUAGGUAAACCAAAACAAAGUCCAUAGAAAAUAUCAACCCAAGGUUCACUAGGUAUGGGCAGAGGGUUAUACAAUCCAUGGGCAUAUUCUUUCAACAUAACGUUCAUAUGUGGCCAAAAGAAGUGUUCUUUUAAACAUCUAAAGUCUUUGCAAUAUCAAAAAUGUCCCAUUAAACCACCCCCAUGAGCUUCAUGCACAAGCAAUUCAUGCAAAGAACUAUGAGGCACACACAAUUUAUUUUCUCUAAAUAAAAGCCCAUCAUGCCUAUAGAUACCAUGGGGUAGUUGUAUGUGGCGUUGUUACAACCAGAUCUAUGACAGAGCAAAGUCUAUCCUUAGGGCCAGUAGCCCGCAAGUUCUGGUUUCCAGCCGAUAUACACUUAUUCGUCAAAUACCAAAUCCGAAAAUCAUUCUUUAAAACCAGUUUUUUUACGUUACCACCGAAAACACGGUACUUGGCCAAACAAGGGUGAACAUUGUAAGAAAACCAUUUUAACUUACAAAAAAUCGAUUUUGGAGGAUAAACAUGACUUUUCUGAUGCACAAGAUCCUUAGGCUUAAGGCAAGUUCAGAGCAUACUCAGUUUAGAAAUAGAGGUGAAUGUGUCUUUAUUAUUCCAAUCUAGAUUCUUGACCCCUAGAAAGAGAGAAGAUAGUUUAGCGAAACAUAAUGUAAGAAAACUUAUAUCUUUGAUUGAUCAACUCAUGAUUUACAAAGCAAGGAAGCUCCUUAUAAAGAGAGCUCAGGGAGGAAGAGAUAAGGUGGGACCUUUCUAUUUACAAAAGGAGAGACAUAAUUAUGAAAGCAAUAAAGCAGGAAAGCACAACGGGCCAAAAAUACAAAAGCAAAAGCAAACUUUAGACAAGACAGGACCCUGUCUAAUUAUUAAAGCACACUUUAAUAAAAGCAAAGCUAAAGAUUCCAUGUGGGGCAUCAUGGAGUGGAUGGGUAACGUGAUGGUGACACGUCACCUGUGGCUUUUUUCAUAUUGGCACUUGUGCCGACGUAUCUGGUUCUGGUCUAGAUCGUUUCAGCUUGGUGAUAUUGUUAUUCAUCAGCAUCGGUCAUGGGCUGUGAUGUAGAUGCAACCCGAGAGCCUGGAUUGGUGACAGUGUACGGGUAUUAUCAGUCGGAGGAGAGAGUGAAAAUCUUCCCAAGGUCUUGAGCAUCUUGAACAAGACAUUUGUGUAGUCAAGACGCUGUUCCAUGACAAGAAUGCCAUGUGGCUUGAACUUGAACCCGAGUACAUGUCUGAGUCUUUGGGACUAUUUCCAAACUGUGGGAUGGUCCAAUGGAUGUAUGAUGAAUGUUUGUGGCAAGUGGUGAGUUCCAUGAGAUAAGCUCGAAGGACGGAUGUGAUUGAGGUGUCAUGGAUAAGUGAAUAACGAUGGGGACAAGUUUUCCAUUCGUAAGCCAUAUCUUGAGUCAAUAGUCUCUGGUUUCAGGGUGUUGGAAAUAUGGUCGGUGAACAAUGAAAACGGUGGUGAACAUGUUGGCUUCAUGUCAGGACUAAAUUAACCUGUGAAAAGAACACAGAUUCUGGAGCUGUUUACGCCACCAUGUAAGGGUGAAUACCAUCUAAGAGAGUCCAUAGAAGGGCAGAAGAGAACUCAGGAGAGUGAGUGGUAGAGGACUGUUUGAUAGGCAAGACUAGCUUGUGGCAUACAAGGUUGUAAGACACCACAUAUACCAUAACUCAUCUUCUGAGAUGGUCAGGGUAGACAGGGUGAGACCUGUGAGAAACAAGUUUUUCCAUACAAAGUGUAGGAAAACGAUAAGGAGUUUUGGUGUAGGCGUUGAAGAAAAUACCUGUAGAGAAUUCUUACAAAAUCCUGAAUUUGUAGGCUGAUGAAAAAGGAAUGUCAAGGAAAAGAUCGUUGGGUAAGAGCUUGAAAGGAACUUGUCGAUUCAUGGCUAUGACUGGGAAUGAUGCUUAUGGAAGAGAGAGUGAAGGUUUAUUUAUAGCCGAGCGAGUAAGGAAGUCAGGGAAUUAGGUCUGUUUACCUUUGAUGUGCUGGACAGUAAAGUCAUACUUUGAGAACCAAGUUUUGAGAUUGAGGAGCUGCUUGUCAAAAGCAACUUGUUCUGAAAUCAAAGAUUCGGGGAAAAGAAGAAUUGUCCAUGUUGAUAAGGAAUUGGUGGCUGAUGAGGUGGAAUUCAAAACUUUUUGAUCCCGUAUUUACCGCCAAAAAUUUCUUUGUAGAUCACAUGGUAGUUCUUUUAGAGUCUUUGAAUUGUCCCACUUGCAUGAGCACAGAAGUGGUACAUGCCAUCUAUCUCGUUCAAGGAGAAUGCACUCCAAUAGUCGUCACUGGCAUCUGUCUGCAGAAUGCGUUGACCAGUUGUUGGAAUUCUGAGUGGAGGAGGUGAUUGGCUAUCACUUUUAGCUGUUUGAUAGCUUCAGUCUGUGCUGGUCCUAGGGAGACACUGCUUUUUUAGCAUACGGGGAACUUAUCAUCUUUGAGAUCAAACUUAGAGAAGAUACGUGCCCUUGAAGAUGGACAAACAGGUGGAUUUGGAAAGGGGAACUUAUCAUCUUGAGGAAAGAAUUGAGAGGCUGGUAAUCAAUGACUAACCAUUUCUUUCCACGGACUAAUUCAGACCUUUUUUCAACAUAGAAGGCUUGACAAGCCCAAUCUGAAUCAGUUGGUUCAAUCAGACCUUGCUGAAGCAACUGAGAACAUUCUUGCUUAGCAAGUAAGAAGGUCUGAAGGAGACAAUACCCGGAUGGGAGGCUUUGGUAGGGUUUAUGUCUUCGUUGAGUUUGAAAGGAAGAUGAAUAAAGAAUGUUCAUUCUUCCGAAGAGGAAAGGAUGAUAAAAUUGAGAAUGAUUAUCUGGACAAAACUCAAGAAGUUUCUGUGAAAUGUGACUGUAAGGAGUUGGAACAUCAGUGAUGGUAUAACAACGAAAGAACAUUGGUAUAAGGCAAGAACAUUAUUUGUAGCGAAUCCCAGAACAAGUAAGGAAUAGAUUUUGACCAGAUGAAGGACGUCAAAAAACCUAUGAGUAAGUCUUUGUCUGGAAGGGUAGAAGUACAAUCUUUUUCCAAAUAAUACAAUUCGGAAAAAACUGGAUACUAAUGGGUUUUUGGUAAUUAGUUUGUUUCAAACAUUUCACCAUUGACAGCUCGGAAUAAUUUGAAUGGUUUCCCAAUAGUCGAGGUAAAGAACAAAAGGAUCAAUCAUACUGGUAUCUGCACCAGUAUCAAUAAACCCAAUAACAGGAAUAGGUUUAUGAAACUUUGAAGGAAAGAUUGACAUUCUGAGGAAGGUCUAGGGACGGAUGAGACCUGGUUGACAAUUUGGACUGUAGAGAUAAUAGAAAUGUCAUCAUAAUCAGAUGAUUCUGCUAAGAUGAAGGCAGUCUGAUCAUUUUGGCUUGACUGUUAAGAGAAAUUGGAUUCGACAUCGUCAUUUUCCGAUAACAAUGAAGAAAUGUGGAGAUGUUGGAUAAGUCGAACAACUUUUACAGAUUUGUAGGACAGUUUCGAGCAAAGUGACCGUGUUUCUUGCAAAUGAAACAACGGUUAUGUUUCUUUUUCUGAACUGAGAAACAUCUUUUUUCUGAAGUACCGGAAAGGCUUUUUGGAAGAAGAUUUUUUGUGAAAGUGUUUCUGGAAAUGCUUUUCUUCUUGGUUGGACAAAAACAUUUCUUUUCAUCUUUGCAUUCAAUCUGGAGAUAGGGUUUUUUGCAGGCUUCAGAAGAAGGGUUUAGGAUUCUAAGUUUUUAAGUUACUUUGGUAAACAUUAUGGACUAAGUUAGGAAUUAAGUUGUUGUUUUUAACUACUUUCACCCAUAAACUGAUGGUCAAACAGAAGUUGUGAAUAUAACUAUUAUUUAUGUUAUUUGCGGGCUGUCAUUAAAAAGAACACCAAAACUUAGGAAAAUUGUUUGCCACAUGUUGAGUUUGCUUAUAAUCGUUCUGUUCAUUCUACUACUGUUUGAAAUUGCUUAUGGUUUUAAUCCUUUAACCCCAUUGGAUUUAAGUCCACUACCUGUUUUUUAUCAUGGUAACUUAGAUGGCAAGAAAAGGCCAAAAUUGUUAAAUAGAUACACGAGAUGGCAAAGUUCAACAUUGAGUUAUUUCCAAAAUGAAGGAAAUUUAAGUUAUUACCUCAAGGGGAUAGUCCUUUCCAAAGUUUUGGAACGGAUUAAUGACAACACGUACAAGCUGGAUUUGCUUGGUGAGUACAACGUAAGUGCUACUUUUAACAUUUUUUAUUUGAGUCCUUUUGAUGCAGGGGAUGAUUUGACGACAAAUCUGACAUCAUACGCCCAAGUUACGGUCUGUUUAAGAUCAAUGGCUCUACAAGCCAAGGCCCAUGCGGCUCCGAGAUUUAAUUUUAGGGUUUUUUUUCAUGUUUUUAAGUUAAAUUAGGGUUAGCCACCUUAUAUAAACACUCUUUUAUGUUAUUUAAAUGCACCUUUGACAAUUUUGAGUUUGAUAUCAUUGUAAAGGAUUUUAUCAACUUGUUCUUGACAGAACUUUCGACUUAUCAAAUGAGUUCUAGCCUUUGUGGCAUCCUAUUUAGUAAUCCGGGUUCUUGAGACUUAGCUUCUCAAGGGUUUGGAUCUUUAUGAUUAUAUUGGCUUUCUUGGAUUCUUAUCAAUCUAGUUGUGGGUUUUUCUAGCUAGAUCUAGAGGGGUUCUCAUCAACUGCUUUAAAUGGAUUAAUUGAGAAAAUGUGGACCAAAAAGCAAUUCAAGAUGCAAAACAUGGUGAAUUAGGCUUGGAGAGAAGACAAGGCAUUGUGGACAUUAUUCAGGCUAUUGGAACAGCCAAAUAAACAAUUUGGGUCAAUGUAGAAAGGGAGCGCAACAUUAAUAAAAUCUCUAGCCUUCUAUAAUCAUGAGUUUCUAAAUUUUCUUUUCUCUUUGGUAAUGAAGCUCUAACCGAUUUAAAAAUAAGACGAAAACUUACAUCUGUUCAUUUUGAAACUAAAGGAAGUAUGCUCUGCACUUGCCUCUAGCAAGGAUCAUGUGCAUCAAAAUUAAUGUGCAAGCUAUAUACCAUUGAAAAGAUGAUUAAACUAUCAUAAUGAAGAACAUUCUAGCGGCAUAACUGGUCUAGAGGUUUAUAUGUUUUCAAUUCAAAUAGGAACAGUCUUAGGAGGGAUAGAGGUGUCAUAGAUUGAUUAAUGGCAUCAAAUUGUGUUCAUUCUCUUCUGUAGCCAUGUGAAAAGCUUGAAGCUUUAUAGAGUGGAGGGAUAUCUGGAUGAGAUAUGUCUCCUAUCUCUUUUCGUACUGCUUUUGGGCUUUGUGAACUUGUUGGUAGAUCAGAUAAUCUUCAUCAAGCUCAUCUUUUUCUGCAGUAGCCAUAGUAGACUGAGAGACUGGCUUAGUAGGUAAACACUGAGACUCUUGAGAUGGGAGAAGUGAGUGAAAGUCUUCCCAAGGGUCUUGAGCAUCUUGGAAAAGGACAUUUGUGUAGCCUGGGCGUUCUUCUCUGACGAGAAUACCUUGUGGACUGGAACUUGAACCUGGAGUGUUUGCUUGAGAUUUUGGUAAAACCUCAAGAGAGUAAGAUGGUCCUAUAGAUGUGUGACAGAUGUCUGUUGGAGUUGGUUGGACAUUAUUGAGUUCUAGAAGGUAGGCUCUAAGGGCUGAGAUUAUGGUUGGGUCAUGGUUAAGUGGAAAUGGGUGUGGAAAAGUUUUCCAUUCAUAUGCAUGGUCUUGUGUCCAGUAGUCCUUAGUGACUAGGUAUUGAAAAUAUGGUCUGUGAAUGAUGGAAACUGAGGUAAAUAAGUCUGCUUCUUGAUCAGGAAGCAUGUUUAACUGAUGAUGGAUUGAAAUGUUUUGAAGUUAUUUUGCGCCACCAAGUGAGUGGUGAAAACCAUUCAAGUAAUGUCCAGAGGAGGAUGGUGCAUGGUCAGGAGUUGUGAUGUGCCUGAGGGUAGGUUGAAUAGGGAGGACAAGUUUAGUGGCAAAACAGGACUGUGAGACACCAACAUACCAUAAUUCAUCUUCUGAAAUGGUCAGGGUUGGACUGAGAGUGAAUCCUAUAAAAAAUAGGUGUUUCCAAGUGAAGGGACGGAAAACGAAGUGGUUGGGUUCUGUAGACAUUCAUGAAAUACCUGAAAAGGAAUUUUCUGGCAAAAUUAUGAAUUUGGAAGGUUGAACUGAAGGAGAGAUUGAGAGGAAAAGUCUUUUGGGUUAAAGGUUUGAAAGGAAGAGAACAAUUCAUGGCUAUGAUCGGUAUAGUCUGGAUAUAAGUGAUGAGGGUAGGUUUAUUUAUAGAUAUCACCUUUAAUGUGCUGGACAGUAAAGUCAUACUUGGCGAACCAAGACUUUAAGCUGAGUAAUUGCUUGUCUGGAAGCAAUUUGUUCUGAAGUCAAGAAUUUUUUGGAAAGAGGGAGUUAUCCAUCCUGAUAAGGAAAUUGUGACUAAUCAGAUGGAAUUUAAAUUCUUGAUUCCAUACUUGACUGUUAAAAUCUCCUUGUAAAUGACAUGAUAAUUCUUUUCUGCAUUCUUGAACUGUCCACUUGCAUGAGUGCAAUAUGACUCUUUUUCACCAAUUUUCUCCAAAAGAAUGGUACUCCAUUAUUCAUCGCUGGCGUCCGUCUAACAGCUGUUGUCUGUUCAGGGCCCCAUGGUGGGGGUUGUUUUUUCAGCAUGCACGACAGUUUGCUCGUAUGGACCGCAACUUUGGGAAUAAAGUCUAUUCCAAGGAACUAUUGAAUUUGCUUUUUGUUGAGAUCUGUAUCUAGGAACUUUGUCAAUUCUUCUACAAUGUGUGGUUCUAGAUGGUAGUGACCAUCUUGUAACACCAUGCCUAAAAUGUCGAUUGAUUCCUUUCUAAUACUGCUUUUCUUUUCAGAAAGCAUUAUGCCAUGUGCUUGCACAAUGUAAAAAAAAAUUAAAAAGUUGUGUUUGGUGUGUCUGGUGGUUGGUGGAGAAUAACAAAAUGUCAUCAAUGUAUACUAAUCAUGAUGAAGUAUGGGAGAGAAUAUUUGACCAUUGCUUUUUGAAACAGGGAAGGAGCAACUUUGAGAGCAAAGGGCAUUACUGUCCAUUGAUAAUAGGCAUUGGGAAUACAAAAAGCCGUUUUUAGGUCUAUCAGAAGGUGAAAUGCCGAGUUGCCAAAAACCAGCUUUAAGAUCGAACUUCGAAAAGAUUCUGGCAUCUUGAAGAUGGACAAAUAAGGACUAGAAUUUUUGGAAGAGGAAAAUUUUCAUCUCGAAGAAAAGCAUUUAGAGGCUGAUAAUCAAUUACCAAUCUCUUUUUUCCUCGGACUAACUCAGACCUUUUUUCAAUAUAAAAGGCUUGACAUGCCCAAUCUGAAGUUGUUGACUCAAUGAGAUCUUGCCGAAGCAAUUGAUCACAUUCUUGUUUGGCUAAAAGAAGGUCAGAAGGUGGCAUUCCUGGAUGAGUUGCCUUUGUUGGAUUGAUAUCUUCAUUCAGUUUGAAGGGAAUUUGAAUGAAGAACUUUUCAUUCUUCCAAAGAGGUAAAGGAUGACUGAACUGAGAUGAUUUUCAAGACAGAACUGAAGAAGUUUUUGGGUGAUUGAGGCAUAAAGGGGGGCUGUAUCAGAGAGAGUAUACAGACGAAGAAUAUAUGUAUAAGGCAAAAACAUUUGUUUGAACUUGAUUCCAGUUGGUGUGAUGUGGAGAUUUUUUACCAAAAUGAAGGAUAUCAAAUCCUAUAAGAAGAUCUUUGUCUGGUAAAUCUGAACUAACAAUUUUUUGCCAUAUGAUACAGUUUGGAAAAAACUGAAUCCCAAUGGGUUUUUUGGUAAUCAGUGAGGUUUUGAAAACUUUCACCAUUGGCUGCUUUGAAAGAAUUCAGUAUGUUUUUCCCAACAGGAAGGAGGGAGAACUGUAGGAUUGAGCAUACUGCGUUGUGCACUAGUAUCAAGAAAACCAAUAACAGGGAUAGGUUUUAUGAAAUUUAGAAGGAAGGACUGAAAUUUUUACUGAUGGAGCAGUAGGCUUAGUAUCGACCUGGUUAAUUUCUUGAACAGUAGAGAUCACAGAUAUUUCAUCUACCUCAUAAUCAUCUAUUGACUCUGUGAGAAUGAAUGCCAUAUGAUCAUCAUAAUUUGUCUAUUCAGAGAAAAUUAGACUCAACAUCUUCAUGAUCAGAAAGCAUUGAAGAUUUCUAUAAAUGUUGGAUGAGGCGGAUAUCUUUAGCAUACUUGUUCGGACAAUUUCUGGCAAAAUGACCUCGUUUCUUACAAAUGAAACAGCGGUUAUAUUUAUUUUUUCUAAAUUGUGAUGGAUCAUUCUUCCUUAAAGUAUCUAUAAGGCUUUUUGUUUUUCUUAGAAGAGUAGGAUCUGUGAGAAUGUUUGUGGAAAUGGCUUUUCUUUUUGUUGGAACAAGUGCAUUUUUUGUCAUCCUUGCACUGGAUUUUGAGGUAUGGUAUUUUGCAGGCUGAGGUAAAAGGUUGUCUAUUUUCAAUGAGGUCUUUGAAGAAGUCUUUUUGUUCACACAAUCUGUCUAGACAUAACAUAGUCAACUGGAAGAUCUUUCCAAGAGAGAUGUUGACUAUGUCCAUAUUAAAGGAUGUAAGUUGCCUCUGGAGUUCUGGCUGAAGUUCUGGAGGAAGUGAAGCAAUGAAAACAUGCUUUAAAGUUGGAUCAUUGAAUCCAUUUUACUUGUAGUAGAGCAUGCUCAUUCUUUUGUAAUGCAUCUCCAAAUGGUUGCGCUUGAGAGAGCAACACUUCAUCUGAUGAAAUUCUUUUCUGGAUGCUUCAUUUGCUGCAGCUGGUUCUCCAAUGAACUGUUCAUAAAUAACUGUAAGAGCUGUAGCUAUUGUGGUUUGAAUCAGUUGAAGCUGUCUGUAUUCUCCCAGACUUUCAAACCAAUCUUGUAAAGAGCCAGUGAAUCUGGAACAUAAUUCUCGAAGAACUGUUUGAGAUUGUGCAUUUGGUCGUGUUAUUUGGACAUCAACCCAAGCAACAAAUUCUUGGUGUCUAGCUGGCCAUUUAUGGCGAGGAAUGUCAUCAAAAGCGAACCAACUGUGUUGAAGAUGGUUUAGAGGAAGUUUCAGGUGCUGGAGGAUUUGGGGGAAUUGGUAUGAUAAACGUUUUCUUUUUGUUUUUUUUUCGAGCCUUCAACAUUUACCAUACCAAUUCCCCAAUGCCCACGUAUUCUCUGCUCUUCAACCUCUCAAAAUGGUAUGAUAAACGUUUUCUUUUUGUUUUUUUUUUUCGAGCCUUCAACGACAGAGAGAAUUUCCUACUCAUGGCAUCAACUUCCUCCAACGACACUUCUCUUUCUUCUGUCAUUACUCCAGUUUCCCUUUCUUUCACCCUCUCCUUACCCAAAUCUUGCUCCAAACACACUGCUAGUAAGAUAAAAAAAUUUAGUUGAAUAUUCCUAUAUCCCUGAAUCUGCUCAGAUCAAAUGAAUCUUUUUUCCUCUUCUUAGUCCUUAUCACCUCUAUAAACGUCCGCACUCCUUUACUCGCAGUAUCCGAACCCUUAUUUCACCAAAAGACCACAUCCAAAAGAAUAUAUCUAGUCAUCCAGAUUGGAUCAGUGUUCCCUUCAGGCUACCAUAGCUUAACAAUAUAAAGAGAAAGGUUAUACUCAUCUCCAUAUCGGAUGAGUCAGACUAAUCCUAACCUUACAAGGAAGGAAAGGAUUACCAGUCACAGCCUGAAUUGCUAUGCUGGAUACUAGGUUCACACAUUACCAAGAUGUUGUUAUUGGUACUGUCUUAACCACUCUUCAUGCUGGAAGUGUUUUACUCACUUUCUAUCCCAAUUUCAACCUUUCUCUUCAAAACACUAAUCUCUCCACUGCCUUGAAAGUCCAAGUGCAAAUUCAAGGUGCAGAACAAAUCUCUUCAGCAAAAAUUGUAACUUUCACCAUCAAUUGGUCUAUAGGCUCCAGAACCAUGCCUUAGAUCUUCCUACACCUGAGCACCACUCUGACGCCCUCAUGGUGCUAGCAGAAUCAGAUCAGAUACCAACCAUCAUUCAAAUUCCAAGACAGAUCCCUAGACAUGAACUCAUAAAACUCAUGCCCUUGGAAUGGAUUUCAAAUUAUGAGAAGUUCCACACCAAUACUUCUCCUAUCCAGACAAUAGAAAGUAUGUUUGAACGAAGAUCUGAUGGAACUGUCCGAAUGACUUUUUGACCUCCACCAACAGCACCAGAGGAGCCUCCACGAAUCUCAUUCACUUAUUCAGCCAUGGUUACAGCUGUUCAGAACGCUCAAGAAAAGCUGCCAAUUACAGGAUUCAAUUCAGAAGGAUAUCCUGUCUACCCUGCCAAACUUAAUGGCCACUUUCUUUUAGGAUUCCCCCGGAUCAGGAAAUUGUGACCCAGAUUGUCCCUGUUGGGAUGAUUGGGAAGAAGAUGAUGGUGAACCACAGCGGAGAAGAAAACCAAAAAGGAAGAUACCUAAAACUCUGUGCUCACACAACCAAACUAAACCACCUCAUAAUCCUCCACCACCACCAUCUCCAUUACCCAUCUACCAAAAAGAACUUAGAUGGAUUGCAAAAAUUACAAAACUGAAGUUCUUCCACAUAUCCAGAAUUCCAAACCACACAUACAACCUACGGCUUGUAUGAUGUUUUCAUCCACCUCCCAAGAUUAUUCCUCCAAUUUCCUGCUCUAGAAACCCAAACUGAUCCACAACGAAAGGUCAUAACCAAACCUUUUAUUUCUUCAGCCAUAACUCCCAUAGGUCACUUAGAAGACCCCAAACCUUUUGAGGCUGUUCUCAACUGGCAAACCCAAAAUGCCAGAGCUCAAAAUGAAACCUUGGUUGAUAUCCAUACGACGGUUAAUCAUAUCAAUUUACGAACUGAUCAUAUUGAGUCUAAGAUGGAUUCGAUCACUUCCCAAAUGCAGUAAAUUUAUCAAAAUCUUCAAUCCAGAAUCUUUCAAUUAGAUUCAGAAUUAAGAACCAUGCUGAGUCAUAGAUAUUAUGGCCCAGAAUUUGAUAAAAAGAAAAUGAAAUCCAAAAAUUGAAAGCAGAACUUGAACAGAUUGAGUCAGAAAGGGAAAGGCCAACAUUAUUUACCACCUCUCCACCCUACCUACCCUCAACCCAGCCUUCCAUCCAUUUGCACCUAUGCUUUCUCCCAUAAAACCACAAGACCCGUCCAAAUUAUUUGGCAUGACCCAUACUUUGUUUAGAAAUAAUCCUCUGCCAAAACCAUCUAGAUCUAAACCUCAUCCUCGACCAAGACCAGAAAAACAACAUUUUCAGCCACCUUUGUCCAUCCCAUAACCGUAACCGCCUCUUUAUACCCCACUUCCUCCUCAACCACCACCAACUCAGGCCAAAGAUAAAUCCCCAAUGCAACAAUACAGUGCACAAAUAAUCCCAGAUCCAUCCGAUACAGACCAAACUUUUGAUUCAAAUCUAGCCGUUUCAAAGGAUCCAUCUGAAUCUGAAACAAAAUCUUCUUUAGAAUCUUCCAUUUCAUCUAGUGAUUCUGAAAAAUCUUAUGCUGACAUCACUAGAAUCCUUAUGGCCCAACCUGAAGAGACCGAGCCUGUUCAAUCCUCAAGAACUGACCCAUUUUUUGAAAUACCCUCAGAUAUUGAGGAAAGAUCCACCAGAAGCCAUCCUCAGUUCCAAACCGGCUUGCUCAAACCCCAAAAUGAUCAUAAACCUUCAAAUGGUCCAUGGUUCACUUUUGAUGAUAUCCCUGCAGCUAAAUAGAGAGACAGAUUAUCCGAAAUGGCUGCUUGGACAGAUCUCCAAAUGUUAAGAGCAAAUGCUAACUCCAGCAUCAGUCCUUAGAGAACUUGCUACCCGUUUUACGGGAUCUUUAAGAGAUUGGUUUUGAUACUUUAGGAGAGUACAGACAAUUACAGUUUGUGCAACUACCUAAUGUCUCGACUGCUCUUCUGUCAUUCACGAACAAUUAUUGGAGAAUCAGUUGCAAUCUUUGAAGCUGCAAGAAGAGACUACCUCAACAUGAAAUGCUACUCCCUCAACUCCAAAGAUCUUGAUUUCCAUUAUAAACGGAUGUCAAUCCUGUUUUAUAAGCUCAAUGGGUUCAAUGAUUCGACUCUCAAACAUGUAUUUCUGGCAUCAUUACCUGAAGAAUUGCAACCAACAUACAGAGGCAGCUCAUGAGUCCUCAAUCUCACCAUUGACAACAUUUCCUUGGAAAGAUCUUUCAGAUCGCCAAAAGAUGUUUGGAAAAAUUAUGUGAACAGAAACAGUUCUUCAAAGAGCUGUUAAAAGACAAAGAGCCUUUCGAAGUGCUUGCAAAAAGCCUUACUUAUAGAUCAAAUGUAAGAAAAAGAAAGAUUGUGAUUGCAGCACCAAAAAAGAAGAAGCAUUUCUGAAAAUUCAAAAAAUCCAGAUUCGUUUCCUAGAUCAAAAUCCAGGCGAAAAUCAUACAGGUUUUUCAGGACAAGAUCUAGUUCUUUCCGAGAACAGACAAUGAGAAAGUUAAGCCGAUGCUUCGUUUGCAAAAAGAAAGGCUAUUAUGCUAAAGAUUGCCCCAACAAAAAAAAUAAAGCAAUCAAACUUCUUGAGCAUUUACAGGCCACCACUGAUUAUUCUCCUCACAAAGAUGAAAUUGAGUUCUACUUCGCAUAACAAGAGGAGCCUACUGAUGAAACAGUGUUCGCAUUGCAAAACUCAUCCGAUGAUUCUGAAAUUGAUGAGUUUCAAAAUUGUUUUUCACCAACAACUUUGUCUCUCGACACUACCAUAGUUGUCCCUUCCAUAAAACUCCAAAUCUUACCUUCCAAAUUCCAGAGACCAAUUCCCGCCAUUGGACUUCUUGAUACCGGAGCCCAAAGAAGUAUGUUAAACCCAGACAUACUUCCAUCUCAGUCUUGGCAAUAUUAUGAAGAAAAUUUCAAAGCAGUCAAUGGAAAAUUCUUCACCAUCAAGUUGAUUACCAAAAAAACCCAUUAGUAUUCAAAUCUUUCCAAAUUGUGUUAUCUGGACAAAAGUCAUGGGUUCUCAUCUGCCUAAUAAGGACAUCUUGUUAGGAUUUGAUAUCAUUCACCAGAUAAAAACACCCUCCAAAUCAUUCAUACUGGAAUUCGAGUCAAGUCCAUGUUUAAACCAUUCACCAAUGUUCUUAAGCUUUAUGGUUUGUCUGAAACCUCCCGGCCUUUCCAAGACAUUUCCACAAAGCUUUUGAAAUAUUGUCCUGAGUCUCAUGCUGACUUUCAUCAUCCAAAUCCUCUGUGGAAAAUCCACAUUUCUUUGUUCAAUUGCCUUUGAAGUUGAAUGAAGAUGUCAAUCCAACCAAAAGCCACCCAUCCAGGAAUGAGUCCUUCCGACUUAGUCCUAGCCCAAAAGGAAUGUUCUCAGUUGCCUGGCCCAAGGUCUUAUUGAACCCACUAGUUUCCAAUGGGCUUGUCAACUUUUAUGUUGAAAAACAUUAUGAGAUUGUUAGGGGAAAAAAAAUGAUUAGUCAUUGACUAUCAACCUCUAAACAUGUUUUUAUAAGAUACAAAUUCCCUUUGCCAAAAAGACAGAGCAUGUUCACCUACCUAAAAAAUGCUCAACUCUUUUCAAAAUUGAUCUUAAAUCUGAAUUUUGGCAACUUGGAUUAAACCUUCAUAACGUUACAAAAUUGCCUUUUGCAUUCCCAAUGCCCACUAUCAAUGGACAGUUUUACCCUUUGGUCUUAAAACAGCCCCAUCUAUUUUCCAAAAAACCAUGGUCCAAAUCUUCCAACCCAUUUUGCAUAGUGCAUUGAUUUACAUUGACGAUAUUCUGUUGUUUUCAGGUACACAAGAUGAUCAUCGCCAUUUGUUAAAUCAAUUCUUUGAUAUUAUUCAAUCUCAUGGAAUCAUGUUAUCAGCUAAGAAAAGCACAAUUGCCACAAAUAGCAUUGAAUUCCUUGGAAUGACUAUCAAAGAUGGCCACUAUCAGCCAGGAAAGCACAUUGCUCAAGAGCUCAUCCACUUUCCAGAUCAGAAUCUUUCCAAAAGGCAAAUCCAGCAGUUCCUUGGUAUUAUAAAUUAUAUCAGAGAUUUUAUUCCUCAUGUUGAUCAUCACACCCGCCAGCUGUCAGCCUUGCUGAAGAAGAAUCCACCUUCGUGGAAUAACAACCGCACACUUGCUGUCACAAUGUUAAAACAAAUUGCGCAAAAUCCGCCACCAUUAAAGCUCAUCACCGAUGGCAGGCGAAUAUUGCAGACUGAUGCAAGUGACGAAUCAUGGGGGCCAUCCUCCUUAAAGAAACAGAUGGCAAAGAACACUUUAUUGCCUAUGCCAGUGGACACUUCUCUGACACACAAAUCCAUUACCACAGUGUUUCAAAGAAAUUUUAGCUGUCAAGCAUGGUAUUCAAAAGUUCGAGUAUCAUCUUAUCGACUAUCACUUUCUUGUCAGAAUGGACAAUUCAGCUUUUCCCAACAUCAUGAAUUUCAAAGGGAAAAAUGUUCUAGAAAAGAUGUUGCUUAGGCUAAAAGACUGGUUUUCAAAAUAUGAUUUCUCUAUGAAGCAUAUAAAAGGAGACCACAACCUUAUUCCGGAUAUGCUCUCAAGACUUGCUAAACCAGAUAAAUCCUUGUUUUUCAUAUCCUCAUAACACCAUUUUCCCGUCAUCUUCAUGGCCACUUCACUCCCCUCACAAGCCCUUACCUAAAAAACCUUUCCCCUUGGGAAAACUUUCACCACAGUCUUUGCCAUACAAGAGUUUGCAAAGAAAGCUGUAUUUAGGUUUUUCAUGAAAGCCUAUCUCUUAUCAGACUCAUUUCAUUUUCCACUUUCAAUCCAGAAAACUUGUUUCUUACAGGAUUAACCCUGGAUCCCUCCAGAGACAUUUCAGAAGAUGAAUUAUGGUACAUCUGGUGCCUAACUGUCCUCUAUGCCACCAAACUGAUUGUUCCAAUAACAGCCACCUUAGAACAUUUGUUCAAUCCAGACAAAUCAACCUCACUCAUCUGGACGCUUCUUGAAUGGUUUUCUCCAAUUCCAUGGUGGAGAAUGAAACUCCAACAAUUGUCACAAUUUCAUAAUUUGGAACGUAUGCCAGCAUCAGAAGCAAAAAUGUUCACAUCUGUGUUCAUUAUUCAUAGACCAUACUUCCAAACACCCAGAUACACACUCCUUCUGGACUCAAGAUCAAGUUUUUGAAUGGUUCACCACACCUCACCUAUCCAUCUUUGAACAAGAUGAUAAAGUUCAAAAGGAACUCUAUAAUUUCCUUUGUGAACUGAACCACCAACCUGCUCCACACAGAGACAUUUCUCACACCUCCUCGGUCCACAGCAUGAUAUCAUCAUGAUCCCCACUCCUUCAGCAAUUUCAAAACCUAAAUCCACGGGUAUUAUCAUCAAGGAAGAAAAACCAGACUUUACUGAUUUUCUAUACCAAGAUGCACAAGACCCAUGGGAAGCAUUCUUGCCAUUAAGUCAACAUCUUCAAAACCUCCAACAAACUCCACCAACACAUGCCUCAGACGAUCCAACAAAUAAAGCCAGUUCUAGCACACCAACCGGCUCCAAAGAAACACCCAUUUUCUUCUUGGCGCAAGAUAUUUUGCCUUGGCCACCCUGUCGCCAGACCAUCAACAUCCACAGACACUCCAUGUCCAUCACUCAAAGUCCUCUUUUCAAAAGAUAAAGAUGAGACCGACAACUCAUCUGAUGAAGACUACAUGAAUCUCUCAUCUCUGUGAUUCAUGUAAUUUGGCAUCAUUUACUUUUUUCAAAGUUUGUCAUAAUUAAAGCAUGAGUCAUGCUUUAAUUUGUCUUUAUUGCUUUUACUUUUCCAAAAGCUUGUCGCUUGUCAUUAUGUCUUUGCUUUUGCUUUUCAAAGUUUGUAAUAAUUAAAGCAUGAGUCAUGCUUUAAUUUGUCUUUAUUGCUUUUACUUUUCCAAAAGCUUGUCGCUUGUAAUUAUGUCUUUAGAAAAGUGAUAGGGGCCCUGUCCUAUCCUUUUCCUUGGUUUUCCUCCUAUAUAAGCUCAGCUUCUCUUUGUUAGAAGCAUAGCAAAAAAUAAAAUCUCUAGCCUUCUAUAAUCAUGAGUUUCUAAUUUCUCUUUCUCUCUGUCAAUGAAGCUCUAAAAGUUUUAAAAAUAAGAAGAAAACUACAUCUGUUCAUUUUGAAACUUAAGGAAGUAUGCUCUGCACUUGCCUCUUGCAAGGAUCCUGUGCAUCAGAAAACUUUUGAUGAUUUCUUAUCUGGUUUGGUACCCUGUUUUAGACUAAAGGAAAGUCUGUUUUGGGUUAUAUAACCCGAGAUGAAAAUGUUUCAAAGUUUUUUUAUCUCAGAGGUAUAUCGGCUGGAAACCCAAACUUGCGGACUAUUGGUCCAAAGAACAGUUUUAACUGUUAUAGUUCUGGUAUAAACAACGCCACGUAUUCUCGCUGAAUCUAUGGUAUCAGAGCCUUCUUCAUUUUCAUUUUCAUUUUUUUACUACCUCGAUCUUCAUUUUCAUCAUCAGAUUCAUCUACAACGGGUGUAGAUGUACUUGGUUCUUCCGUCUUUGUAGAUGGUUGAACCAUGACAUAACCCAGAGAUGUCUGCAUAUUGAGAUUCUGAGUCGGAGGAGGAUUGGUCAUAAGAACUAGAACUAUUAUCAACGAAUGAAUCUGGAUCUGGAUCACUGUUUUGCAUACCAACACUCUGGUAAAAGUAUUGGUGUACAGGAGCUUUAUCUUUCUUUAAUGGCUCAGGGGUAGAUUUUGGAGAAUCUUUAGGCACUGGAGAGCUGUCUUUUGGUUUUGGUUCUGAAAUUCUGACUUUUGUGGUUGGCUUUUUGGAUGUUGAUGGUAUAGUUGGAGGUUCUGGAGUCUUAUAAAGAAGAUGGGAAAGACCAACGAACUUGUUAUAGUCCAUUGGUGGUUUAGAAGGAUGAUAGAAAGGCUGAUAUGUGUCGAAUAAAGGGGGAGGAAUGGGUAAAGAUUGGGUUUUGGUAAAGGGAUGGUUGUUCUUUGUCUGCAUCAAUCCUGGCUAACUCAGCUUUUAGAUUUCUAAUCUCUGCUUCUUUUUUGUUGAAUUCUGGACCCAUAUACGAUUGUUAAUCAUCGUUCUGAGAUCAACAUCUAAUUCAGAGAUUCUAUUAUGCAAAUUUAGAUAGAUUUGUUCUAACUGAGCAUUGAGUGAAUCCACCUUUAUUUCUGUCUUUNNNNNUUAAUUAAUUAANNNNNUUGCUACAGCUGAUAAAAAUCGUUUUUGCACGAUGCAUAUGUAGAAAGCCUAUUUUUUUUUUUUCGAGUAUUUAUUAGUGUAUUUGCUCUUUACCCCCCUCCUUUUUUUUUUCUUUUACUUUUUUCUUUCUAUAGUAGAGAUAGUCGCACGUAAUGACAGAUCACAGCCCAUAUUAUUAAAAAGCUUGUGUAAGAACGGAUUUCGUUCUAGUGCCCGAAAAUAAUAUUCUAAAGCUUUUGUAUGUUCUCCGUUACUUGUGUGGAUAAGGCCUAUGUUAUAGAGUAUAUAGCUUCGAUCGUAAGGAUCAAUUUCUAGUCGCAUAGCUUCAUAAUAAUUCUGUAAAGCUUCCGCAUAAUUGCCUUCAGAUUGAGCUGACAUCCGUUACGGUCGUCAUUCGAUUCAAAGAAUUCUCCGUUUCAAAACCGUACAUGAGAUGAAAAUCUCAUACGGCUCCUCCUUUAUGUGCAUUAUGAGAAUAAUCCAUGAAAUCAAAAAAGAUUGAAAUAUUCUCAUUAUGAACUAAGUGGGGCUAAUGUUUUUACAAGAAAUCUCUAGCCAACCUUCCUGCAAAAGCUUUUUUCUUAAUAUCACGCGUGUUGGUACUAGAUAAAACCGGAAACUCCAACAAUUUCUUUGUUCUCAACGCCCCUUAAUUUACAGGAAUUAAUCACUUCAACAGUCUUCGAUGGUUAUACGGGUAUCCACAGUACGAACGAGAUGGAUGUUUGUUAUCCCAACCAUUCUUCUUAGUCCCGAUCCCGCUAAGGAAAGGGGGCAGCUUAUAACAAAGUUUUCGUGUUGCUGAUUCCUAGACGUAGCGCCUCUUCCCCUAUGCCGCCUAUUGGUACUGGUGUAGUAGGGUUGACUUGCAAUACAGAACCCAUAGGUGUAACCUUUCGCUCAAUACUAGAAUCGACAAUUGAAGCAUCUGAGGCUGCAUUAAUCGGGGAUACACGACAGAAGGAAUGGUUUUAUCUAUAAACUUCACCUUCAACAAGUAGAUUUUUUCAAUAAUCUUUUUUUUUUUUUUUCUAUCCGAAUUGUCUUUCUUUCUUCUAAGACCGAAAGGGGUAAAUAAAAAACUAAUCAAAUCGCACCAUCUCUGUAAUAGGUAAAUGCCUCUUUUUCUCCUACAGUUGUCGGAAUUAUUCGUAAUAAUAUAUUGGCUACAAUCGAAAAGGUCUUAUCAAUAAAAUUUCCGUUUAUCCGCGAUCUAGGCAUAGGUAAAAAUCCAUUCUAUAAUUCGUUUCAUUACCUCUUGUGAGAAAAUGAUCCCACAAACAAAGGAAUUGUACAGUACAAAAUAACAUAAAAGCAGACGUGUUAAAAAAAAUAAAAAAAAAAAUAGACCGAUCCGUUGAUUCGUUCCAACUCAUUGAUUAAAUCAGGUAGAAAUAUCAGAAAAAAAAAAAAAGGAGCGCCAUCUUUGCAAACAAGAUAUAUAGCCUUAUUUUUUUGUUUUGAACAGUUUUUCACAAACAAAAAAGUUAUCCUUUUCCCCAGACUCAAAGGAAGAAUUUUUUCUUUGCUGAAAGGGUUUCUAUUUUUCUAGUUAGAACGGAUUCGAUUGUCCGUACCCAUCUACCAAUCGAAUUUGAACAACUCGCUAUUCACGCGGGUUCUCGGUCAUAAUCAUUGUGUAGGAGAGAUGGCGAGUGGUUCAAGGCGUAGCAUUGGAACUGCUAUGUAGACUUUUGUUUACCGGGGGUUCGAAUCCCUCUCUUUCCGUACCUUGAACUAAUUCAUCAAUGUUACUGACCGGAAUGUAUCCAAGCAAAAAAGAAUGAAUACCGAAGCAGUCAGACCUUUUUUUGAGCUAGAUUCUCAAUUCCUACGGGAAAGAAAGGGAAAGGGGCAGGCAGGGAUAAAAAUCUACCCUCGGAUCUAUGAUACAUGAAUGGGAUAAAAAAAAAACUCCACGGAUCAAACUCCUUACCUUGUAUCCCUUUCCUUAAGUUAGGUGAAAGGUAAAUUUGUACGAGCCCGUUAUUUUAGUUAGGUUUAAGUUUGACGAGAAUAAUAUUCUACGACAAGCAAUUCAUUUAUUUUCAAACCGACCCAUUGACUAUCUAUUAUUUGAUUGACUAAUCCUUUAUAUUGGAAUGCGCGAAGAGUCAAAUGCUUUGGCAAUUCCUCAUGGUGGGAUGAAUCAAGAUAAUUUUGAACCAGAGAUCUAGAUUUGGGUCAUCCCUUACUGUAAUAAUAUCUCGGGGUUUGCAACGAUAACUUGGUAUAUCGACUAUACGACCAUUAACUAAAAUAUGUCGAUGGUUAACCAAUUGGCGGGCUUGAGGAAUAGUUGAAGCCAUACCCAAUCGAAAAGAAUGUUAUCCAAACGCAUUUCAAGUAAUUGUAGUAAACCAGACCGGUUGACCCUUUGGCUUUUCUGGCGAUACGAACAUAUUUAAGUAAUUGUCGUUCUGUAAGACCAUAAUGAAAACGCAAUUUUUGUUUUUUCUUCUAAACGAAUUCGAUAUUGAGAUUUUUUUACGGAGCGCAAUUGGUUUCUAAAAUCGCUUCCGGCUCUAGGCCUUUUACUCGUUAGUCCCGGCAAAGCCCCCAGACGGCGUAUUUUUUGAAACGAGGCCCUCGGUAACGUGACAUAAAGACUCCUUAUUUUAUUGAAUUUCAUAAACCUAAAUUAAAACUGAGCUACAUGAUAAAUGAAGCAAAAUCCGCUGAAGUAUUGUACUACAAAGAAUACUAAGAUGAUUUGUAUCAAAUUCCAGACCCUUUUUGUAUUGUAUACGCAUAUAGAAAUAUAAAUCAAAAGAGGGUUCCUUUUCUUGAUUUAUUCUGCCGAAAUCGAACUUCCUCCAACUUUUAUUCAUAAUUGGAAGCUCCUACAACAUACUGGAUCGAUGAUCCUUGGAAGAAGCCUUUUCAAUGUUCUUUUCUUUCAAAAAGACAUUAUCAAUCAUGUAAAAAAUCAAACAAAUAGAGAAAAGCCGGCUAUCGGAAUCGAACCGAUGACCAUCGCAUUACAAAUGCGAUGCUCUAACCUCUGAGCUAAGCGGGCUUAAAUAAGAGAAAUUGUACAUGCGUAGGGAUCCUAGGAUCUUAUCUAUUAACCUUUUAUUCUUAGCUAUUCAUAAAGAAUAAAAUAGAGAAUCGAAUUUCAAAUAAAUGUUGAAUACUAUAGAUAUAGAACAUAACGAUUAAUCUAACAAUUACGAGAAUCUAGUGAUGAUAUAUAUUAGCGAAUUUGGAUUUUUUUAUCAAUUCUAUAUUGAUCAACAAUAAAUAUCUUACUCUUAAUUAGAUAAUAAAUACGAUUUGAUUUAUUUAUUAUUUUUUUUUUUUCAUUUUGAAUUCAAGACAUUUAAAAUUAUUUUUUUGUUUCUAACCUAAGAUUCUUAAUAUAUUCUAUUCGAUUAUUCUAUAUUAUAGAAUAUACAUAAUAUUCGAUUAUUAUUCUAUAUUCUAUAUAUAUUUAGUUAUUCUAAUCGAAUAUUAUAUUCGAUUCUUAUUAUCCAUUUCGAAAUUCUAAAUUUGCUCUAUUCUAAUUCGAAAUAAUUAGGCUUUAGACUAAAUAAUUAGAAUUAUCUUCGAAUUCUAAUUUAAUUGACUGAGUAGUUAUAGCUAUUCUAUUGAUUAGGUCUAGCUAUUAUAUUCUAAAUGAUUAAUAAAAAUGAUUUAUUUUAUUUAAUAAAUUGAAAUUGGAAUUUGAGUUAUUUUUGGUUAUGUUAUAUAGGUUCUUCCUUAAGGAAAGGGCAAGUAUAAAUAGAAAAUGAAAUGAAAGAGAAAGAUACAAUCCCGCUAAAUGGAAUCUGGAUUAGAAUGAGACAUUUUUGUUUUCAUUCGAAAAGGGGCGUAAGAAAAAACGAAAAAAUAAAUCGACCGUUCGAGUAUUCCGCCGGAUUGCACGAAAAAAAUGAGAGUAAGGGGGCAUAUAUAUUUUAUGGUAGUUUAUAUCCAUCUAUAUUGAAUUGCGGAUACAGAAAAGAUAGAAUCAUUUCUGACAAGAAAGCAAAACACCUUUCGAUAUAUAUAAAUCCAUAUCUACGGAAUUCUACUGUUUCCGCAGAAAUGAAAGAAAGGGGGAACAGCAUUGAGUUCCUAAAACACAAAGGGGAUAUGGCGAAAUUGGUAGACGCUACGGACUUAAUUGGAUUGAGCCUUAGUAUGGAAACUUACUAAGUGAUAACUUUCAAAUUCAGAGAAACCCAGGAAUUAAAAAUGGUAAUCCUGAGCCAAAUCCUCUUCUCUUUUCCAAGAACAAACAGGGUUCAGAAAGCGAAAAAGGGGAUAGGUGCAGAGACUCAAUGGAAGCUGACAAAUGGAGUUGACUGCCCUUUUUGGUAAAGAAAAAAGAAAGUCAAAUGAAUGCUUCUAUCGAAUAUCGAAACUCGAUAAAGGAUGAAGGAUAAGGGUAUAUAGACUAUGUAUACGCAGCGAAAAACUAACUCAAAAAUCACAACCAAAUACGUAUUUCUUUUUAUGAAAAAGAAAAGAAUUGUUAUUGUUAUGAAUCGAUUCUAAGUUGAAGAAAAGAAUCGAAUAUUCCCGCUCAAAUCAUUCACUCCACCUCCAUGGUCUGAUCGAUCCUUUCUUUUGACUUUUGAAGAACUGAUUAAUCGGACGAGAAUAAAGAAUAGAGUCCAUUCUACAUGUCAAUAUCAAUACGGGCAACAAUGAAAUUUAGAGUAAAAGGAAAAUCCGUCGACUUUAGAAAUCGUGAGGGUUCAAGUCCUCUAUCCCACCCAAAAAAGGCCUAUUGACUCCCUAACCAUUUCUCCUACCUUCUCCUUUUUUUGUUAGUGGUUCAAAAGUCGGUAGGUUUCUCAUCUAUCCUACUCUUUUCCAUUUCCAAAAGGAUAUGGCAGAAUUUUUUUCUCUUAUCACAAGCCGUAUGGUCUAUACGAUAUAUGUAGAAAUGAACACCUUUGAGCAAGGAAUCCCCGUUUUAAUGAUUCCCAAUCCAUAUUAUUGCUCAUACUGAAACUUACAAAGUCUUCUUUUUGAUGAUUCAAGAAAUGAAAUUCCCCUCCCAAGACUUUUAAUCCCUGUUUAUUUUUUAAUUGACAUAGACCCAAGUCAUCUAGUAAGAUGAGAACGGUGUGUCGGAAAUGGUCGGGAUAGCUCAGCUGGUAGAGCAGAGGACUGAAAAUCCUCGUGUCACCAGUUCAAAUCUGGUUCCUGGCAUAUGAUUAAUAUCUAUGAGUAUCUAUCACUACAAAUUCAGUGAUAUGGCUCGCCAUACAUAUUCAUUUAUAGAUCAUGAUACAUACAUACUUAUCCAUCUAGCUCGAUGUCUGGGAAUAGGCCUUUUUUUCUUUUAUUUUUUUUUUAUUUUAUUUCUUCCUUCCCCUCUCUGUGACCCGCUAGAGCCCGUCGAAGUGGUGUGCGCGAUACAAGUUCAUGAUACAGAACUCUUUAAUUUCUUUAUCCCAUUCACAAUAAUAAUACGAAUGAGACUUCAAUUCCUCCGUUUGAUCUAGAGAAAGAACGUACAAAUAUUUCUUGAAUAUUGGGUCAAAAUGAAGAUUAAUUUCUAGAAUUCAAUAAGCAUCUUGUAUUUCAUAAAAAUUGGGGGGCAAUAUAAUCCUUACGUAAGGGCCACCCUAUCCAACUUUCAGGCAUUAAGAUACGUUUCAGUCGUGGAUGAUUAUCAUAAAGGAUUCCCAGCAUAUCAUAAGAUUCCCGUUCUUGAAAAUUCGCACUUUUCCAAACCCAGAAAACCGAUGGAAUUUUAGGAUUACUCCUUGGAGCAAAUACUUUUAUGCAUACCUCUUCUGGUUGAUCUACACCAUACUCUAUUCGCGUAAGAUGAUACACACUGGCUAACAGUCCGCCCGGUGCUACUCAUAGGCACAUUGGGACCGUAGAUAAUUGUAGCCAUAUAUAUACAAAAUGACAGCAACGGAGUGCCAAUCUCGGGCUUUAUUUGUAAAGUUUCUAUUCCUUGGUAAUCAAAGCCCAAAGAUCUAUGAACUAGCCCAUGCUUGACCAGCCAAGCAGACAAACGACCCUGCAUCUUUUUAUCUCUCCCACAUUUUGAUUUCGAUAAAUAUUUCACAUUUACGAUGAAUUUUUGGAAUUUAUGAAGAUUAAUUCGCUCUUUCUUAUUCUGUACAAAUGAAUCCUCCUGCCUAAUUAAUGAAUUCGGGGGAAGAUACUGAACUUUUGUAUUUGAAAAGGUUUCAGGCGGGAUUUCUGACGUAGAUGGUGGUUGAUAAAGUAAUCCUUGAUCAUAAUUUCCAGUAUUAGUACUGCAUACAACACGAAACUUGUGAUUGGUAGUAAAAGUAAACGAGCGAUUCUCCCGUUGCAAUCGAAUUCGAUCUUCAUAGAUUUCUCGAGAUAUUUUCUUACGAAGUUUUGUUAUGGCAUCUAUAACGGCCUCUGGUUUAGGCGGGCAACCCGGCAAAUAAACAUCCACGGGAAUUAGCUUAUCAACUCCUCGAACAGUACUAUACGAAUCGGUACUGAACAUCCCCCCUGUAAUUGUACAUGCUCCAUAGCAAUAACAUAUUUUGGUUCAGGCAUUUGUUCAUAUAAUCUCACUAAAGAAGGAGCCAUUUUCAUUGUUACUGUACCAGCUGUUAAAAUUAGGUCCGCCUGUCUAGGGCUCGAUCUUGGUACCAGCCCAUAACGGUCAAAAUCGAACGCGAGCCGAUUAAUGAAGCAAAUUCAAUGAAACAACAACUGGUACCAUAAAGAAGCGGCCAUAAGCUGGAGAGUCUUGACCAAUUUGAAAGAUCGUUUGAUGUAGUUGAAAUAAAUGAAUUUGGGGUUGUUCGAUCAAGUAAGGAAAAUUCAAUAGAAUUCAUAAUUCUCUCAAUGUUAUUUUUUUGUUUUUUUUUUUUUUUUUACUUUUUGUUAUUGUCUGAAUAUUCAGAAACUAAGACCACUCUAAUGCUCCUUUUCGCCACGCAUAAACUAAACCAACAAUUAGGAUAAGCAUGAAAAUGAAGCUUCUAUAAAUACGGGUACCCCCAAUACAUCAAAACUCAUUGCCCAUGGAUAAAGAAAAACGGUUUCAACAUCAAAAACAACAAAAACUAGAGCAAACAUAUAAUACCGGAUUCGAAAUUGUAACCAAGCAUCGCCAUUGGUUCGAUACCCGAUUCAUAACUAGAAAGUUUCUCUGGCCCUUUGUUAAUCGGGGCUAAAACUGCGGAAAUUAGAAAUGCCAAAAUAGGAAUAACGCUUGAUAUUAUUAGAAAUGCCAGAAAAUAUCAUAUUUGUAAAGCAGAAACAUAGCCAAACUCCUAUGAAUGUGGAAAAUAGACCAAAUUUGUCGAUGCAAAUUGGAAUUCAUUGUCAAGUCAUCGAUAAUUGGUUAAUCAAAACAACAAUUCAUUUUGAUCGAACCGCAAAGUUUCGUUUGUUUGUUGUGAUGUCUCGUUUUAAGAUUUAUCGAUUGGAAUCCUAUUUUCAUUACACUUCCUUCGAUUUUAUUUCAAUAUAGUAUAAAUCUCUUAUACAAACAAAACAAACAAAACCCUUUUGCGUUCACGCGCUUCGGACUUGUCUAAAUCAAAGGAAGUCAAAAGAAAAUUCGAAUUUUUGUUUCGAAUUUCGAAUUCGAAUCUUCGAAAUUCAAUCGAUUUUGAUUCUAUUCUCAAUAUAUAGAAUAUUUUCUGUUUCUGAAUUAUGUUUAUGAAAAGCUAUUCGUUUUUCAAACGCUGAGGUGUCAACAAAUACCGUAAUCCGUUCCUAUAUCCAUGCGACUUACUAUUCCAUUUGAGUUGGGUUACGUCGGCGUCUCCCCGGAUUCGUGUCAUGAUUUUGACUCCGCAAAUUCACCAAAAGUAGGUGAGUAUACCAAAGAAAGGAAGUAUCAAUAACUCUUUGAUUGUGAUGGGAACAGGAAAAGAGGCAAAUCCAUAUGGAAUUCCCAUACGAAGAUUAUUAUUAUUAAUUAUUGAAGAAAGAAAAAUGGGUUUGUUUAGCCGAAUCCGAGAUUCUAAAAAAAAAAUAGCGAUUAAAUCCAUUGAAAUGCGCUUUAGUUUUCAUUUCAGUUUGAUGUUCUGCUCGGAACGAGCUCCCUCCGAGCGAGCUUUUGGGAAUGAUUUGAUUUCGAUGAACCACAAGCAACCCCCAGCGACCAGUUACAAACAACAAAAAUACAAUGAAUGAGGAAAUGAAAACUAUACAAUUUUUGUGUUUCUGUAUUUCCAUUUUGAUUAUUAUUAUUUGAGAUUAGUAUAGGGCUAUACGGACUCGAACCGUAGACCUUCUCGGUAAAACAGAUCGAACUAAUUCUUAUCAAAUGAUUCGAACUCUUUCAAAGACCCAACAUGCAUUUUUUUUUUUUUGCAUUGGGCUCUUUCAUUAACUGAUAGAAAUAUCAGUUAGUCUACCAUAUUUUUUUCUUGACAGACAACUAAGGAAAUGGCUCCAUGUGCUCUAAUUCAUUAUUUGGAUUCGGAUAUAGGAGCACUCCCAAAGUGUUUCAAAGAAGGGUUAUCUUGACGUAGGUCUGCUUAUGGCCUAGAUCAACCUAAACGAAAUGGAGUCUCUAUCAUCCUGAUUAAAGAAUCACAUAUGAAACUUCAUACGCCUUAAGGUUCAUAGAACGAAAAGAGAAUUUUUGAGGUCCUUAUACUCAUUAUGCCUAGCAUUGAAUAGACUAGGUAUUUACCUUAUCAAUCUCUCAAAUCGAUGAUGGAUUCUAUUUGGUUCCUAAAAGGGCACCCGAAUCGGACCGAUCCAUUUGUCAGGCUAUUGUUCUCUUGUUUUGUUCCCUACAAGCCACGGAGUCAGACAUUAAUUUCUCAAAAAGAUCAAUUCUUUUUGAUUGCAUGAUGGACUCCUCUGAAAAACAUUGGCGCACGUGUAAACGAGGUGCUCUACCUAACUGAGCUAUAGCCCUUGUCCUUGUGAUACAUAUUUUAUCAUAUUAUGUAGAUAAUUUCUUGUCAAGAUGAAUAUUCCAUGAUCCCACACCAUAUCUCUUUGAUCUUUUGGAUUGGUAUUGCUUAGAAGUCCUAUUAGAUUUAUACUCCAUCGAUGGGAUGUGAUGGGUCUCUUUUUGUUUUUUUGUUAUAAUGAUAAAUGACCUACUUAACUCAGUGGUUAGAGUAUUGCUUUCAUACGGCGGGAGUCAUUGGUUCAAAUCCAAUAGUAGGUAGAAAUUAUUAGAUACCACGGCCAAUGGUAUCUAAUAAGUUUUUCUACUCACCUUUGUUUAUUGAUUUUGUAUCUUUUCUAUCCGAUUCAAUUUGAUUUUCGAAUUGAAAACCUUUUUCCUUCCGUCAGAAUCCAAUUCCACUUGAUUGAAUUUAAUUGGAUUCAAUUGGCAGAAUCAAAAUAGGGGUAUAAACAGAAAUCGUUGGAUUAUUCUAUUCGGCAAAUUAGUGCUUGUUCUACUCUUACUUUGAUAUUGUAAUUUUUUCUUUCUUUAAAGCUUCUAUCUCGCUUCUGUACAUUUCUGUUCUGAUAGGUCUAAUUUUGCUCAUGGUUUUUUUGCUUAAGUUUCUCAAAUUUAAGCUUGGCAAUCGUAGAUUGGCUAAAUAGGGCAAAGAAAUAUAGAACAAAGAGAUGACAUUGAGUCAAUGAUAGCAGAAGGCCUUGAAAUAGCAGAAGCAAAUUGAGAAAGCUGAAAGCAAGAGACAAACAAUUGAGGCAAUCUAGCUCUCAGACGAGCUAGGACACGAGUAGAGUUAUCAAUGCGAUUCAUAACUAGUUGGUGCGCCCGAAUAGAAUAAUCCAACGAAUUUCUGUUUAUACCCCUAUUUUGAUUCUGCCAAUUGAAUCCAAUUAAUUCAAUCAAGUGGAAUUGGAUUCUGACGGAAGGAAAAAGGUUUCAAUUCGAAAAAUCAAAUUGAAUCGGAUAGAAAAGAUACAAAAUCAAUAAACAAAGGUGAGUAGAAAAACUUAUUAGAUACCAUUGGCCGUGGUAUCUAAUAAUUUCUACCUACUAUUGGAUUUGAACCAAUGACUCCCGCCGUAUGAAAGCAAUACUCUAACCACUGAGUUAAGUAGGUCAUUUAUCAUUAUAACAAAAAACAAAAAGAGACCCAUCACAUCCCAUCGAUGGAGUAUAAAUCUAAUAGGACUUCUAAGCAAUACCAAUCCAAAAGAUCAAAGAGAUAUGGUGUGGGAUCAUGGAAUAUUCAUCUUGACAAGAAAUUAUCUACAUAAUAUGAUAAAAUAUGUAUCACAAGGACAAGGGCUAUAGCUCAGUUAGGUAGAGCACCUCGUUUACACGUGCGCCAAUGUUUUUCAGAGGAGUCCAUCAUGCAAUCAAAAGAAUUGAUCUUUUUGAGAAAUUAAUGUCUGACUCCGUGGCUUGUAGGGAACAAAACAAGAGAACAAUAGCCUGACAAAUGGAUCGGUCCGAUUCGGGUGCCCUUUUAGGAACCAAAUAGAAUCCAUCAUCGAUUUGAGAGAUUGAUAAGGUAAAUACCUAGUCUAUUCAAUGCUAGGCAUAAUGAGUAUAAGGACCUCAAAAAUUCUCUUUUCGUUCUAUGACCUUAAGGCGUAUGAAGUUUCAUAUGUGAUUCUUUAAUCAGGAUGAUAGAGACUCCAUUUCGUUUAGGUUGAUCUAGGCCAUAAGCAGACCUACGUCAAGAUAACCCUUCUUUGAAACACUUUGGGAGUGCUCCUAUAUCCGAAUCCAAAUAAUGAAUUAGAGCACAUGGAGCCAUUUCCUUAGUUGUCUGUCAAGAAAAAAAUAUGGUAGACUAACUGAUAUUUCUAUCAGUUAAUGAAAGAGCCCAAUGCAAAAAAAAAAAAAUGCAUGUUGGGUCUUUGAAAGAGUUCGAAUCAUUUUGAUAAGAAUUAGUUCGAUCUGUUUUACCGAGAAGGUCUACGGUUCGAGUCCGUAUAGCCCUAUACUAAUCUCAAAUAAUAAUAAUCAAAAUGGAAAUACAGAAACACAAAAAUUGUAUAGUUUUCAUUUCCUCAUUCAUUGUAUUUUUGUUGUUUGUAACUGGUCGCUGGGGGUUGCUUUGUGGUUCAUCGAAAUCAAAUCAUUCCCAAAAGCUCGCUCGGAGGGAGCUCGUUCCGAGCAGAACAUCAAACUGAAAUGAAAACUAAAGCGCAUUUCAAUGGAUUUAAUCGCUAUUUUUUUUUUAGAAUCUCGGAUUCGGCUAAACAAACCCAUUUUUCUUUCUUCAAUAAUUAAUAUAAUAAUCUUCGUAUGGGAAUUCCAUAUGGAUUUGCCUCUUUUCCUGUUCCCAUCACAAUCAAAGAGUUAUUGAUACUUCCUUUCUUUGGUAUACUCACCUACUUUUGGUGAAUUUGCGGAGUCAAAAUCAUGACACGAAUCCGGGGAGACGCCGACGUAACCCAACUCAAAUGGAAUAGUAAGUCGCAUGGAUAUAGGAACGGAUUACGGUAUUUGUUGACACCUCAGCGUUUGAAAAACGAAUAGCUUUUCAUAAACAUAAUUCAGAAACAGAAAAUAUUCUAUAUAUUGAGAAUAGAAUCAAAAUCGAUUGAAUUUCGAAGAUUCGAAUUCGAAAUUCGAAACAAAAAUUCGAAUUUUCUUUUGACUUCCUUUGAUUUAGACAAGUCCGAAGCGCGGUGAACGCAAAAGGGUUUUGUUUGUUUUGUUUGUAUAAGAGAUUUAUACUAUAUUGAAAUAAAAUCGAAGGAAGUGUAAUGAAAAUAGGAUUCCAAUCGAUAAAUCUUAAAACGAGACAUCACAACAAACAAACGAAACUUUGCGGUUCGAUCAAAAUGAAUUGUUGUUUGAUUAACCAAUUAUCGAUGACUUGACAAUGAAUUCCAAUUUGCAUCGACAAAUUUGGUCUAUUUUCCACAUUCAUAGGAGUUUGGCUAUGUUUCUGCUUUACAAAUAUGAUAUUUUCUGGCAUUUCUAAUAAUAUCAAGCGUUAUUCCUAUUUUGGCAUUUCUAAUUUCCGCAGUUUUAGCCCCGAUUAACAAAGGGCCAGAGAAACUUUCUAGUUAUGAAUCGGGUAUCGAACCAAUGGGCGAUGCUUGGUUACAAUUUCGAAUCCGGUAUUAUAUGUUUGCUCUAGUUUUUGUUGUUUUUGAUGUUGAAACCGUUUUUUCUUUAUCCAUGGGCAAUGAGUUUUGAUGUAUUGGGGGUACCCGUAUUUAUAGAAGCUUUCAUUUUCAUGCUUAUCCUAAUUGUUGGUUUAGUUUAUGCGUGGCGAAAAGGAGCAUUAGAGUGGUCUUAGUUUCUGAAUAUUCAGACAAUAACAAAAAAGUAAAAAAAAAAAAAAAAAAAACAAAAAAUAACAUUGAGAGAAUUAUGAAUUCUAUUGAAUUUUCCUUACUUGAUCGAACAACCCCAAUAUUCAUUUAUUUCAACUACAUCAAACGAUCUUUUCAAAUUGGUCAAGACUCUCCAGCUUAUGGCCGCUUCUUUAUGGUACCAGUUGUUGUUUUCAUUGAAUUUGCUUCAUUAUCGGCUCGCGGUUCGAUUUUGACCGUUAUGGGCUGGUACCAAGAUCGAGCCCUAGACAGGCGGACCUAUAUUUUAACAGCUGGUACAGUAACAAUUGAAAAUGGCUCCUUCUUUAGUGAGAUUAUAUGAACAAAUGCCUGAACCAAAAUAUGUUAUUGCUAUGGGAGCAUGUACAAUUACAGGGGGGAUGUUCAGUACCGAUUCGUAUAGUACUGUUCGAGGAGUUGAUAAGCUAAUUCCCGUGGAUGUUUAUUUGCCGGGUUGCCGCCUAAACCAGAGGCCGUUAUAGAUGCCAUAACAAAACUUCGUAAGAAAAUAUCUCGAGAAAUCUAUGAAGAUCGAAUUCGAUUGCAACGGGAGAAUCGCUCGUUUACUUUUACUACCAAUCACAAGUUUCGUGUUGUAUGCAGUACUAAUACUGGAAAUUAUGAUCAAGGAUUACUUUAUCAACCACCAUCUACGUCAGAAAUCCCGCCUGAAACCUUUUUCAAAUACAAAAGUUCAGUAUCUUCCCCCGAAUUCAUUAAUUAGGCAGGAGGAUUCAUUUGUACAGAAUAAGAAAGAGCGAAUUAAUCUUCAUAAAUUCCAAAAAUUCAUCGUAAAUGUUGAAAUAUUUAUCGAAAUCAAAAUGUGGGAGAGAUAAAAAAGAAUGCAGGGUCGUUUUGUCUGCUUGGCUGGUCAAGCAUGGGCUAGUUCAUUAGAUCUUUGGGCUUUGAUUACCAAGGAAUAGAAACUUUACAAUAAAGCCCGAGGAUUGGCACUCCGUUGCUGUCAUUUUGUAUAUAUAUGGCUACAAUUAUCUACGGUCCCAAUGUGCUAUGAUGUAGCACCGGGCGGACUGUUAGCCAGUGUGUAUCAUCUUACGCGAAUAGAGUAUGGUGUAGAUCAACCAGAAGAGGUAUGCAUAAAAGUAUUUGCUCCAAGGAGUAAUCCUAAAAUUCCAUCGGUUUUCUGGGUUUGGAAAAGUGCGAAUUUUCAAGAACGGGAAUCUUAUGAUAUGCUGGGAAUCCUUUAUGAUAAUCAUCCACGACUGAAACGUAUCUUAAUGCCUGAAAGUUGGAUAGGGUGGCCCUUACGUAAGGAUUAUAUUGCCCCCAAUUUUUAUGAAAUACAAGAUGCUUAUUGAAUUCUAAGAAAUUAAUCUUCAUUUUGACCCAAUAUUCAAGAAAUAUUUGUACGUUCUUUCUCUAGAUCAAACGGAGGAAUUGAAGUCUCAUUCGUAUUAUUAUUGUGAAUGGGAUAAAGAAAUUAAAGAGUUCUGUAUCAUGAACUUUGUAUCGCGCACACCACUUCGACGGGCUCUAGCGGGUCACAGAGAGGGGAAGGAAGAAAUAAAAUAAAAAAAAAAUAAAAGAAAAAAAGGCCUAUUCCCAGACAUCGAGCUAGAUGGAUAAGUAUGUAUGUAUCAUGAUCUAUAAAUGAAUAUGUAUGGCGAGCCAUAUCACUGAAUUUGUAGUGAUAGAUACUCAUAGAUAUUAAUCAUAUGCCAGGAACCAGAUUUGAACUGGUGACACGAGGAUUUUCAGUCCUCUGCUCUACCAGCUGAGCUAUCCCGACCAUUUCCGACACACCGUUCUCAUCUUACUAGAUGACUUGGGUCUAUGUCAAUUAAAAAAUAAACAGGGAUUAAAAGUCUUGGGAGGGGAAUUUCAUUUCUUGAAUCAUCAAAAGAAGACUUUGUAAGUUCAGUAAUGAGCAAUAAUAUGGAUUGGGAAUCAUUAAAACGGGGAUUCCUUGCUCAAAGGUGUUCAUUUCUACAUAUAUCGUAUAGACCAUACGGCUUGUGAUAAGAGAAAAAAAUUCUGCCCAUAUCCUUUUGGAAAUGGAAAAGAGUAGGAUAGAUGAGAAACCUACCGACUUUUGAACCACUAACAAAAAAAGGAGAAGGUAGGAGAAAUGGUUAGGGAGUCAAUAGGCCUUUUUUGGGUGGGGAUAGAGGGACUUGAACCCUCACGAUUCUAAAGUCGACGGAUUUCCUUUUACUCUAAAUUUCAUUGUUGCCCGUAUUGAUAUUGACAUGUAGAAUGGACUCUAUCUUUAUUCUCGUCCGAUUAAUCAGUUCUUCAAAAGUCAAAAGAAAGGAUCGAUCAGACCAUGGAGGUGGAGUGAAUGAUUUGAGCCGGGAAUAUUCGAUUCUUUCUUCAACUUAGAAUCGAUUCAUAACAAUAACAAUUCUUUUCUUUUUCAUAAAAAGAAAUACGUAUUUGGUUGUGAUUUUUGAGUUAGUUUUUCGCUGCGUAUACAUAGUCUAUAUACCCUUAUCCUUCAUCCUUUAUCGAGUUUCGAUAUUCGAUAGAAGCAUUCAUUUGACUUUCUUUUUCUUUUACCAAAAAGGGCAGUCAACUCCAUUUGUUAGAACAGCUUCCAUUGAGUCUCUGCACCUAUCCCCUUUUUCGCUUUCUGAACCCCUGUUUGUUCUUGGAAAAGAGAAGAGGAUUUGGCUCAGGAUUACCCAUUUUUAAUUCCUGGGUUUCUCUGAAUUUGAAAUUAUCACUUAGUAAGUUUCCAUACUAAGGCUCAAUCCAAUUAAGUCCGUAGCGUCUACAAUUUCGCCAUAUCCCCUUUGUGUUUUAGGAACUCAAUGCUGUUCCCCUUUCUUUCAUUUCUGCGGAAACAGUAGAAUUCCGUAGAUAUGGAUUUAUAUAUAUCGAAAGUGUUUUGCUUUCUUGUCAGAAAUGAUUCUAUCUUUUCUGUAUCCGCAAUUCAAUAUAGAUGGAUAUAAACUACCAUAAAUAUAUAUGCCCCCCUUACUCUCAUUUUUUUCGUGCAAUCCGGCGGAAUACUCGAACGGUCGAUUUAUUUUUUCGUUUUUCUUACGCCCCUUUUCGAAUGAAACAAAAAUGUCUCAUUCUAAUCCAGAUUCCAUUUAGCGGGAUUGUAUCUUUCUCUUUCAUUUCAUUUUCUAUUUAUACUUGCCCUUUCCUUAAGGAAGAACCUAUAUAACAUAACCAAAAAUAACUCAAAUUCCCAAUUUCAAUUUAUUAAAUAAAAAUAAAUCAUUUUAUUAAUCAUUUUAGAAUAUAAUAGCUAGACCUAAUCAAUAGAAUAGCUAUAACUACUCAGUCAAUUAAAUUAGAAUUCGAAGAUAAUUCUAAUUAUUUAGUCUAAAAGCCUAAUUAUUCGAAUUAGAAUAGAGCAAAUUUAGAAUUUCGAAAAUGGAUAAUAAGAAUCGAAUAUAAUAUUCGAUUUAGAAUAACUAAAUAUAUAUAGAAUAUAGAAUAAUAAUCGAAUAUUAUGUAUAUUCUAUAAUAUAGAAUAAUCGAAUAGAAUAUAUUAAGAAUCUUAGGUUAGAAACAAAAAAAUAAUUUUAAAUGUCUUGAAUUCAAAAUGAAAAAAAAAAAAAUAAUAAAUAAAUCAAAUCGUAUUUUAUUAUCUAAUUAAGAGUAAGAUAUUAUUGUUGAUCAAUAUAGAAUUGAUAAAAAAAUCCAAAUUCGCUAAUAUAUAUCAUCACUAGAUUCUCGUAAUUGUUAGAUUAAUCGUUAUGUUCUAUAUCUAUAGUAUUCAACAUUUAUUUGAAAUUCGAUUCUCUAUUUUAUUCUUUAUGAAUAGCUAAGAAUAAAAGGUUAAUAGAUAAGAUCCUAGGAUCCUACGCAUGUACAAUUCUCUUAUUUAAGCCCGCUUAGCUCAGAGGUUAGAGCAUCGCAUUUGUAAUGCGAUGGUCAUCGGUUCGAUUCCGAUAGCCGGCUUUUCUCUAUUUGUUGAUUUUUUACAUGAUGAUAAUGUCUUUUUGAAAGAAAAGAACAUUGAAAAGGCUUCUUCCAAGGAUCAUCGAUCCAGUAUGUUGUAGGAGCUUCCAAUUAUGAAUAAAAGUUGGAGGAAGUUCGAUUUCGGCAGAAUAAAUCAAGAAAAGGAACCCUCUUUUGAUUAUAUUUCUAUAUGCGUAUACAAUACAAAAGGGGUCUGGAAUUUGAUACAAAUCAUCUUAGUAUUCUUUGUAGUACAAUACUUCAGCCGGAUUUUGCUUCAUUUAUCAUGUAGCUCAGUUUUAAUUUAGGUUUAUGAAAUUCAAUAAAUAAGGAGUCUUUAUGUCACGUUACGAGGGCCUCGUUUCAAAAAAAUACGCCGUCUGGGGCUUUGCCGGGACUAACGAGUAAAAGGCCUAGAGCCGGAAGCGAUUUUAGAAACCAAUGCGCUCCGUAAAAAAAUCUCAAUUCGAAUUCGUUUUAGAAGAAAAACAAAAAUUUGCGUUUUCAUUAUGGUCUUUACAGAACGACAAUUACUUAAAUAUGUUCGUAUCGCCAGAAAAGCCAAAGGGUCAACCGGUCUGGUUUACUACAAUUACUUGAAAUGCGUUUGGAUAACAUCUUUUUCGAUUGGGUAUGGCUUCAACUAUUCCUCAAGCCCGCCAAUUGGUUAACCAUCGACAUAUUUAGUUAAUGUCGUAUAGUCGAUAUACCAAUUAUCGUUGGCAAACCCCAGAUAUUAUUACAGUAAGGGAUGACCCAAAAUCUAGAUCUCUGUUUCAAAAUUAUCUUGAUUCAUCCCACCAUGAGGAAUUGCCAAAGCAUUUGACUCUUCGCGCAUUCCAAUAUAAGGAUAUCAAUCAAAUAAUAGAUAGUCAAUGGGUCGGUUUGAAAAUAAAUGAAUUGCUUGUCGUAGAAUAUUAUUCUCGUCAAACCUUAAACCUAACUAAAAUAACGGGCUCGUACAAUUUACCCUUUCACCUAACUUAAGGAAAGGGAUACAAGGUAAGGAGUUUGAUCCGUGGAGUUUUUUUUUAUCCAUUCAUGUAUCAUAGAUCCGAGGGUAGAUUUUAUCCCCUGCUGCCCCUUCCCUUUUCUUUCCGUAGGAAUUGAGAAUCUAGCUCAAAAAAAGGUCUGACUGCUUCGGUAUUCAUUCUUUUUGCUUGGAUACAUUCCGGUCAGUAACAUUGAUGAAUUAUUCAAGGUACGGAAAGAGAGGGAUUCGAACCCCCGGUAAACAAAAGUCUACAUAGCAGUUCCAAUGCUACGCCUUGAACCACUCGGCCAUCUCUCCUACACAAUGAUUAUGACCGAGAACCCGCGUGAAUAGCGAGUUGUUCAAAUUCGAUUGGUAGAUGGUACGGACAAUCGAUCCGUUCUAAACUAGAAAAAUAGAAACCCUUUCAGCAAAGAAAAAAUUCUUCCUUGAGUCUGGGAAAGGAUAAUUUUUUGUUUGUGAAAACUGUUCAAAACAAAAAACAAUAAGGCUAUAUAUCUUGUUUUGCAAAGAUGGCGCUCCUUUUUUUUUUUUUUUCUUGAUAUUUCUACCUGAUUAAUCAAUGAGUUGAACGAAUCAACGAUCGGUCUAUUUUUUUUUUUAUUUUUUUAACACGUCUGCUUUUAUGUUUAUUUUUACUGUAACAAUUCCUUUGUUUGUGGGAUCAUUUUCUCACAAGAGGUAAUGAAACGAAUUAUAGAAUGGAUUUUUACCUAUGCCUAGAUCGCGGAUAAACGGAAAUUUUAUUGAUAAGACCUUUUCGAUUGUAGCCAAUAUAUUAUACGAAUAAUUCCGACAACUUAGGAGAAAAAGAGGCAUUACCUAUUACAGAGAUGGUGCGAUUUGAUUAUUUUUUAUUACCCCUUUCGGUCUUAGAAGAAAGAAAGACAAUUCGGGAUAGAAAAAAAAAAAAAAAAAAAGAUUAUUGAAAAAAUCUACGCUUGUUGAAGGUGAAGUUUAUAGAUAAAACCAUUCCUUCUGUCGUGUAUCCCCGAUUAAUGCAGCCUCAGAUGCUUCAAUGUCAUUCUAGUAUUGAGCGAAAGGUUACACCUAUGGGUUCUGUAUUGCAAGUCAACCCUACUACACCAGUACCAAUAGCGCAUAGGGAAGAGGCGCUACGUCUAGGAAUCAGCAACACGAAAACUUUGUUAUAAGCUGCCCCUUUCCUAGCGGAUCGGGACUAAGAAGAAUGGUUGGGAUAACAAACAUCCAUCUCGUUCGUACUGUGGAUACCCGUAUAACCAUCGAAGACUGUUGAAGUGAUUAAUUCCUGUAAAUUAAGGGGCGUUGAGAACAAGAAAUUGUUGGAGUUUUCCGGUUUUAUCUAGUACCAACACGCCGUAUAUUAAGAAAAAAGCUUUUGCAGGAAGGUUGGCUAGAGAUUUCUUGUAAAACAUUAGCCCCACUUAGUUCAUAAUGAGAAUAUUUCAAUCUUUUUUGAUUUCAUGAUUAUUCUCAUAAUGCACAUAAAAGGAGAGCCGUAUGAGAUUUUCAUCUCAUGUACGGUUUUGAAACGGAGAAUUCUUUGAAUCGAAUGACGACCGUAACGGAUGUCAGCUCAAUCUGAGGCAAUUAUGCGGAAGCUUUACAGAAUUAUUAUGAAGCUAUGCGACUAGAAUUGAUCCUUACGAUCGAAGCUAUAUACUCUAUAAACAUAGGCCUUAUCCACACAAGUUAACGGAGAACAUACAAAAGCUUUAGAAUAUUAUUUUCGGGCACUAGAACGAAAUCCGUUCUUACCACAAGCUUUUAAUAAUAUGGCUGUGAUCUGUCAUUACGUGCGACUAUCUCUACUAUAGAAAGAAAAAAGUAAAAGAAAAAAAAAAAGGAGGGGGGUAAAGAGCAAAUACACUAAUAAAUACUCGAAAAAAAAAAAAAUAGGCUUUCUACAUAUGAUCGUGCAAAACGAUUUUUAUCAGCUGUAGCAAAGAAAAGAAACUUCAUAGAAGUCGAAAUAUGAAGAAAUCGAUAUGCCUAGAUAGUUUAUUCUAUGGAUAAAGGAUCUAAUUGAUAGAGGAAGCACCGUAAAGAUCAAUUCGCGAGGUUUUGGCCGAUGCCGAUCCAAUAAGAACUGCUUAUUUAUGUCAUGAUAUGAGAUAAAAGUAAGAAUCCACUUAUGUAAUAAAGUCGAUCCCCUAAGGUAUUGAGCAGCCGGUGUAGCAUCAGAUCCAAAGACAGUAAGCCUUUUCUUUCUUAGGAAGAAAGGCUUUUUCAAAGAUUCUAUAUCAAUUUUUAUAUGAAACCGAGAUAGAUACCUUUCAGAAAAAUUCUAACUAUAGUGGAAAUGCUUCUAUGUUAUUCUUCUGACGUGGGAGAAAAGAUAAAAUGAAAGCAAAGCUGAUUAUUAAUUUAAUCAAAAGUCAAGUUGAAACUCAUGCUCAUGGAAUUAACCUCUUUGGUUAACCCCCCAAAAAAAAAGAAUAAAGAUAAAGAUCGAUCUAUGAGAAAUCUCAUUCAAUUCGAUAUACUAGAUUCAAAAACCCGGACACCAAAAAGAAUUGAUUGCCGAGCCGUAUGAGCGGGAAACUCUCAAGUACGGU